CAUUGUGACACCACUGAACUUCAGAACCCUGGAGGCCUCGCUGGAGGAAGGGCAGCCUGAGGGGCUUGGUGUUGUUUCUUGGAGGCAAAGGCACCCAACAAUCCUGCUGGGGAGCUGUUAUCACUUUUCCAGCUGCAGCCAGCCAUGCUGGGGACACCUGGCCAGGAGAGGGACAAAGGCUGCCCCUUGUGAGCUCUUGAAGCCUCCCCCCAAAUCCUGCUGAAGAGAGUGGAGGUGGCUCAUUCAGACGAAUAAGGACCAAAAGAUUUUGGACCCUGUAGGAGUGAUCACUAUAGAAUAACCAGCCCAGAGCACCAAACUCUAUUUCAAAUAUCCCAUUACACACAAAAAAAAACAUUCAAAAAGCACAGAGAUUCUUUAUUUCAGCCCAGGUCAGUUUCUUGCUCUAGGCAGAAGGGAUGAAGCCCUUUGCUUAACAUUCCUCCCAGAAAAGACACAACCCAAAAGUACCAAGUCAAGCACACAUCAUUGCCAAGUGGACUUUUUUACUGUUGCAAAAAAUAAAACAAGGAAGGAUUCAA